AGAAGGUCAAUUCUUAGGCCUUGGAAUAGUGAGUGUCCGAGAGCUGUUAUGUAAUCCAAGUCAGAAACAGGUCAUUCCUCUGCAGUCUCAACCCAAUGAAGAUGAUUCUGUGACAGGUUCUCUCACAGUAGAGUUCUUAUUUAUGGAGGGAGGUGAAGUGCCUGUUAUUGGUGAUGCCUCUGGAAAAUUGACCGGGCUGAUUGAAACAAACAGUCGAGUGACACCAACUGCCAAAGUACUGGAUAUGAAAGCUGAUUCCCUUAAUGACGUGUCCUCAUCAAAAUCUGUAGAAAGCCAAGGUGCUG